rnacentral:rRNA from 1 species
GUGCAGCAGUCGCGAAAACUCCGCAAUACGCGAAAGCGUGACGGGGCCAUCCCGAGUGCCGUCCGCUGAGGAUGGCUUUUCCCCUGUGUAGAUAGCCGGAGGAAUAAGGAGAGGGCAAGUCUGGUGUCAGCCGCCGCGGUAAUACCAGCUCUCCGAGUGGUAGGGACGAUUAUUGGGCCUAAAGCGUCCGUAGCCGGCCAAGCAAGUUUCCCGUUAAAUCCAGCGAUCCAAUCGUUGGACUGCGGGAAAUACUGUUCGGCGAGGGGGCGAGAGAGGCCAACGGUAUUCCCGGGGUAGGGGUGAAAUCCUAUAAUCCCGGGAGGACCACCAGUGGCGAAGGCUGUUGGCUAGAACGCGCUCGACGGUGAGGGACGAAAGCUGGGGGAGCGAACCGGAUUAGAUACCCGGGUAGUCC